rnacentral:rRNA from 1 species
UACAGAGGGUGCGAGCGUUGUCCGGAAUCACUGGGCGUAAAGGGCGCGUAGGCGGCUCGGUAAGGUUGCGGUGAAAGCCCGGGGCUCAACCCCGGGUCGGCCGUGGCAACUGCUGAGCUGGAGCACUGUAGAGGCAGGUGGAAUUCCGGGGUGUAGCGGUGAAUGCGUAGAGUAUCGGAAGAACACCGGUGGCGAAGGCGGCCG